GUUGCUAUGAUGAGCUGUGACAAGUAAGAAGAGCAUCUCACUCGAUUGGUUCUUCAAUGAGAUAUGCUAGUUAUGCUUGGCUUCUGAGGUCA